GCUGGAAUGGCCGAGUCGUUAAGGCGAUAGAUUUGAAUUCCAUUAUAUCUAUUACUCUAUGAGUGCGUAGGUUCAAAUCCUGCUUCCAGCG
rnacentral:tRNA from 1 species